AAGAUAUUCAUUAAAAACAAUAAGUUCAUACAACUCCNNNNNNNNNNNNNNNNNNNNNNNNNNNNNNNNNNNNUUUGUUAGGGCUGCAUCCGGCCCCAGUGAAGAGUUCAGCCUUCCAUGGAGUCGUGGGCGACAGCAGCAGUGGCACAGCAGCCCAUUUCUAUCACGAUCGGCUUCCUCUGCCUCAGCACUUCAUUUUUUUUCUUUCUUUUGAGAAGGCAUUCCCAAAAAGACCCAAACUUCUCUCCCUCCUCUGUUUCCCGUGGGAUUUGGCCUGAUAACCCAAGCUUUUCUCUCCCUCUAGUCUUCUAUGGGAUUCGGCCUGUGAACAAUGUGGAACCCCUCCCGGUGGGGAAUGAAUCCUCCUCUGUUCACCCUGGGGCCCUUUUAUAGGCUGCGACCUUGAUCUCUCCUCUUCCCUAUUUUCGAGUGGAGGAUAAGGAUGAGGCUUUGGAUUUGAUGCUGGAUUUGGAAGAAGGAUACGAUUUUUCUGGGAUAAGGAUGGGAAGACUCCGUUAGCAGUGGAUAAGGAUGGAUUAUGUUGAGAUGCACAGAGGAAGCGUGGGAAUCCGGCUGGCCGCGGGAUAGAGAUAAGGUUGAUGGGAUGCUAGGAUUUGUUCAUGAUCGGGAAGAGAUCUGAUCUUGAUGUUGGGGGAAAUCUCACGAACGGCUGGAACACAUGGAUGAAGGGAGUUUCGAUUUGGUUCAUGGUUGAUUCGUGAGAUAAAGAUGAACUCGGAACAGGGGAACUGGGAACUGAUCCUUGAAUCGCGGACGGGAUGAAGGUGAAUCACAGAAAAAUCGCUGGGACUCUGUUUCAACACAGGGGAAUCCGGAAGGAAAGAAACCUUUGAUGCGUGGAACCUCUCGCAUGCAUCACGGGUGGAUGAGGCAUGGCAGAUGGGAGGAGAUCUUUGGAAGAAUCCUUCGGCUGGGAACAGGGGAGAUGUUUACGGCUGGGAGGAAUUCGUGGAUGAGAGCCGGACACAGGGAUUUCGAGAUUUGCUGGGAAAUGUUCCUUGAAUCGCGGACGGAACGGCAUUAGCUUCAUUCGUGGGACACAGGAGGAAGCUCGGAGAGCUUGGGACGUUGGGAUCAAUCAGGAAGAAACUGGGAUUUGAGUUUAUCCCACGGGCGAAGAGGAGGGGAGAUGAGCUGUGACAAGGUGAUAUGAGCUGGGAGCAGGGUUGGAUUGGGAUGAAGAUAGAUCACAAACAUGGUGAGCUGGGUUGGUUCGGAAGAUGCUAGGAAGAAUGAGGAUGAAUACGGAGACGUGUAAGUUGAAACAGGGGAUUCUUCCGUGGUCAAUUAAUCCGAAUAGGAGGGAGUUUGGAUUCGGUUGACAGUUGAGAUGAAGCUUGCUUGGAAUUCAUUCGUGGGAGAAGAAGGUUAUCCGGAAGAGGAUGAGAGCUGGAAGAUCUGGGAUGAGGUUGAGGAAAAGCUGAAGCUGGGAGAUAAGUGGAUCACGGAAGGAUGAACUCGAUUCGGUUGGAGGGGAGGAGGGCAUGCGUGAGAUGAGCGGAGCCUGGCUUGGGAUUUGAAGGUUGGCAGUUGAGAUAUAACGGAGCAGGGGAUGCGGAUGGGAGUGAUCGAAAUAUGAAGCUUGGGACUCGGCUUGAUUUGAACGGGUGAAGAAAUCAGGGGAGAGAAGUUGGGAGGAUCAACGUGGAGGAGAUGACGGAGAACAGGGGAUGUUUCGGUUCUGGAUGAAUGUCGUGGAACAAGGGAGUUGGAAAGGAUUCGUAAAAUCUGGGACUUGGAAUUCAAUCAAACGCGGACGCUGGGAUGUUUGGUAGAUUAAGUCGGAAGAUAAGAUGGAGGAGUUGGAUUCGGAAGUUGGGAGGAAAGGCUGAUAUGUGGGAUAUUAGAAGGAUAGAUUCAGCUAGGAAUCUUGGUUUGGGAUGUCCGGGAUGCUUGCGGGUGGAAGCUUCUGUUCUUUGGACAUGGAAGGGUAGGUCAUCUUGUUGCAAGGUGAGGAUGUGGACAUAGGAAGGCCGUAUGCUGAGAAAAGAACUUGAUGGGUGAACGUGAAAAGAAUUUGAUGAAGUGUAUUGUGGGUUUAAGCAUCACAUAAUUGGAUUUGACUUGACCUGCAUACAUAAGGCUCAAUCAAUAAAUAAUCGAAUCAAACUUGAAUUACCUUUGAUAAUUUAUUAAAAUGCAAUGGUGAAGAAAACACUUUUUUUUAGUUAAAUUCACAAAAUAUAUGAAUUAAAAUAAUGAUAAGUGCUAUGAAUAAGAUAUUAAUUUAUGCAUUAUUUAGCACUUAUCACACCCCCCAACCUACAUUUUGCUAAUCCUCAAGCAAAAUAAAAUAAAAAAACUAACUCACUUUCGCAGGAAUCGCGAUUGCAUUUACCGUAUGCAAUAAGGCUUUAAACCCCUAGGUGGCCCUAGUGGACGAGUUUUGUCUCGUGAGGGUUUCCGGCUCAGAUACCCACAAACUGCUGUCUCUACCCAAAAGAAUUUAUUUUAUUGCUUUAUAAAAUCUAAUUUCAAAUGCAUAAGUGCUAAAAAUUUCAAAAGCACACAAAGUUUUAAUUACUAAGUCAGCCCAAAUCCUAGGUCAAGAUGAAAUUCAAGUUGAGGUCAUUAAGUUUCCGUUAGGGAGUUGUAAGACUUUUUAUACUUGGGUGCUCGGUGAAAUCUGGACCUUACACAAGCUAAGGCUUUAGAUUCUCCAAAAUACUGCUAAAGCUAGUAGUUUCUAAGAAUUGGUCAGAUAAGAUCUAUUCACUGAUUCAAAAUCAUCCUAUCUUGCAGGAUUUCGAGAGUUGUGGAUGUUUACUUUAAUACCUCAUGGGCUUUAUCUGUAAUAUUCCAGUUUACUCGAAUUUUUUACAAUGACGGCUUUCACACUAUCGUCUUUUUCAAGGUCAAUAUUAUUUUCUCUUUCUCUGUUUUUUUGUUUUUUUUAAUUUAUUUUUUUAUUUUGUAUUUAUAAAUUACGCACUUUUACUCUUGUAAUGAUUCCUCCGUGUAGCGAGCAUUCAGUCAACACUCCCACACCAGAUGGCAUAAGGUGUUAGGCAUCAAGACUCCCCUACGGACCUAUGCUCGGGUUCAUCAUACAAGCCC
rnacentral:lncRNA from 1 species